UACGUAGGGGGCAAGCGUUGUCCGGAAUCAUUGGGCGUAAAGAGCGUGUAGGCGGCCCGGUAAGUCCGCUGUGAAAGUCGAGGGCUCAACCCUCGAAUGCCGGCGGAUACUGUCGGGCUAGAGUCCGGAAGAGGAGAAUGGAAUUCCCGGUGUAGCGGUGAAAUGCGCAGAUAUCGGGAAGAACACCCGUGGCGAAGGCGGUUCUCUGGGACGGUACUGACGCUGAGACGCGAAAGCGUGGGGAGCGAACAGG
rnacentral:rRNA from 1 species